GAUGAACGCUGGCGGUAUGCUUAACACAUGCAAGUCGAACGGACUCUUCGGAGUUAGUGGCGGACGGGUGGGUAACGCGUGAGAAUCUGGCUUUGGGUUCGGGACAACCACUGGAAACGGUGGCUAAUACCGGAUGUGCCGAGAGGUAAAAGAGAAAUUGCCUGAAGAUGAGCUCGCGUCUGAUUAGCUAGUUGGUGAGGUAAAGGCUCACCAAGGCAGCGAUCAGUAGCUGGUCUGAGAGGAUGACCAGCCACACUGGGACUGAGACACGGCCCAGACUCCUACGGGAGGCAGCAGUGGGGAAUUUUCCGCAAUGGGCGAAAGCCUGACGGAGCAAUACCGCGUGAGGGAAGAAGGCUCUUGGGGUGUAAACCUCUUUUCUUAGGGAAGAACAAAAUGACGGUACCUAAGGAAUCAGCAUCGGCUAACUCCGUG
rnacentral:rRNA from 1 species